UCCUGGUUAGCUCAGUUGGUAGAGCGCUCCACUGGAGAUGGAGGGGUCCCUUGUUCGAAACCAGGACCAGGCU
rnacentral:tRNA from 2 species